AGGACGAACGCUAGCGGCGUGUUUGAAACAUGCAAGUCGAACGAGCCUAACAUUUCGGUGUGAGGUGUAGUGGCGAACGGGUGCGUAACACGUAAAGAACCUAUCCAGAAGCGGGGGAUAGCCUCUAGAAAUGGGGGGUAAUACCGCAUAAGGUACAAGACAGGCAUCUGUCAUGUAGCAAAGGAUACGCAAGUAUUUCACUUAUGGAGGGCUUUGCGGCCUAUCAGGUAGUUGGUGGGGUCACGGCCUACCAAGCCAAAGACGGGUAGCUGGUCUGAGAGGACGAUCAGCCACACUGGGACUGAGAUACGGCCCAGACUCCUACGGGGGGCAGCAGUUUAGAAUAUUGUGCAAUGGGCGAAAGCCUGACACAGCGACGCCGCGUGGGUGAUGAAGGCCUUCGGGUCGUAAAGCCCUGUUGGUAGGGAAGAGAACGGACGGUACCUACCGAGGAAGCCCCGGCUAACUACGUGCCAGCAGCCGCGGUAA
rnacentral:rRNA from 1 species